UCGGAUCGGAAAUUUCGACAUUUUGAUCGGAAGCAAGAACGGGACCUCGCUGGCUGUGAAGUAACUUUUCCCUUUCGCUCGCUUCUUCGGCUAAUAGAUUUUGCUAAUGUCUCCAUGACCACCAUUUUUCGAAGGCUUUGAAGAUAAUAUCACCUGGUUUUUGUAAUGGGAGAGGAAUGUAGGCAUUGCAAGAAAUGGAAGGAGCACUGUAGGAAGUUUGAGGAACACUUCUACUGGGACCAUGUUGAUGUGAAGAAGAUGCACUUCUCCAAGUUCAUGACUGGAGAUUUCUCCAGCUGCAUGGUCUUACCAAAGAAGUUUAUAGACCACUUUAAGGGUGAACUUCUUGAAACUAUAGAGCUGAAAGU